UGGUACAUGCAAGUCGAGCGAAUCGAUGGGAGCUUGCUCCCUGAGAUUAGCGGCGGACGGGUGAGUAACACGUGGGCAACCUGCCUAUAAGACUGGGAUAACUUCGGGAAACCGGAGCUAAUACCGGAUACGUUCUUUUCUCGCAUGAGAGAAGAUGGAAAGACGGUUUCGGCUGUCACUUAUAGAUGGGCCCGCAACGCAUUAGCUAGUUGGUGAGGUAAUGGCUCACCAAGGCGACGAUGCGUAGCCGACCUGAGAGGGUGAUCGGCCACACUGGGACUGAGACACGGCCCAGACUCCUACGGGAGGCAGCAGUAGGGAAUCUUCCGCAAUGGACGGGGGUCUGACGGAGCAACGCCGCGUGAACGAAGAAGGCCUUCGGGUCGUAAAGUUCUGUUGUUAGGGAAGAACAAGUACCAGAGUAACUGCUGGUACCUUGACGGUACCUAACCAGAAAGCCACGGCUAACUACGUGCCAGCAGCCGCGGUAAUACGUAGGUGGCAAGCGUUGUUUGGAAUUAUUGGGCGUAAAGCGCGCGCAGGUGGUUCCUUAAGUCUGAUGUGAAAGCCCACGGCUCAACCGUGGAGGGUCAUUGGAAACUGGGGAACUUGAGUGCAGAAGAGGAAAGUGGAAUUCCAAG
rnacentral:rRNA from 1 species